rnacentral:rRNA from 1 species
GACGAACGCUGGCGGCGUGCUUAACACAUGCAAGUCGAACGGAAAGGCCCUGCGUUUGUGCGGUGCUCGAGUGGCGAACGGGGGAGUAACACGUGAGUAACCUGCCCUUGACUUUGGGAUAACUUCAGGAAACUGGGGAUAAUACCCCAUAGGAGCUCCUGCUGCAUGUGGGGGUUUGGAAAGUUGCGGCGGUUGGGGAUGGACGCGCGGCUUAUCAUCUUGUUGGUGGGGUAGUGGCUUACCAAGGCUUUGACGGGUAGCCGGCCUGCGAGGGUGACCGGCCCCAGAGGGCCUGGGAAGGGGCCCAGAGUGCUACGGGAGGCAGCGGUGGGGAAUAGUGCACGAUGGGCGGAAGCCUGAUGCAGCAACGCCGCGUGCGGGAUGACGGUCUUCGGGUUGGAAACGGUGUUCGCCUGGGACGAAGCGUGAGUGACGGUAAUGGGUAAAGAAGCACCGGCUAACUACGUG